rnacentral:lncRNA from 1 species
UAUGAUGUAAGUCCAGCGAUUGGCAUCCGGUUUCCUUGUUUGUAUUUGUUGUUUGGAGUCGGACAUAAGUCCAUUGAUUGGCAUCCCAUUUCCAUUUGCGAGUUUCUUUUGACGUCUCAGCGUCUUUGCGUGUGUUUUGUUUCGGCGUGCGUUAGCCGAACUACGGGAGCUCUGAUUCUCAUUCAAGAUGAGAUACGUAGGCAUAGGAUGCGAUAUCCUAG